GGCGACAUAGCCAAGUGGUAAGGCACGAGUCUGCAAAACUCUGAUGCGGCGGUUCAAAUCCGCCUGUCGCCUCCA
rnacentral:tRNA from 5 species